rnacentral:lncRNA from 7 species
AUGCGGCCCCGCGCCGGCCCCGCCCGCCACCGUCUCGUAGUAACCAAUGGACGCGUCGCCGAACGUCACGUUGUUCAUACAGCCCUAUGGGAGGGGGGAAUGGGGUCACGUGGUACUAUAACGGGUAUGGGGUCACGUGGUACUAUAAGGGGUAUGGGGUCACACAGCCCUAUGGGGGAAUGGGGUCACACAGCCCUAUGGGGGGGGGGAAUGGGGUCACGUGGUACUAUAACGGGUGUGGGGUCACGUGGUACUAUAACGGCUAUGGGGUCACGUGGUAUUAUAAUGGCUAUGGGGUCAUACAGCCCUAUGGGGGGGGAAUGGGGUCAUACAGCCCUAUGGGGGAAUGGGGUCACGUGGUACUAUAACGGGUAUGGGGUCAUACAGCCCUAUGGGGGGAAUGGGGUCAUACAGCCCUAUGGGGGUAUGGGGUCACACAGCCCUAUGGGGAAUGGGUCAACAGCCUAUGGGGGAAUGGGGUCAGAUGGCCCUAUAGGGGGAGAGGGGUCACACAGCCCUAUGGGGGAAUGGGGUCAUACAGCCCUAUGGGGGGUAUGGGGUCACGUGGUACUAUAACGGGUAUGGGGUCACACAGCCCUAUGGGGGGGGAAUGGGGUCACGUGGUACUAUAAUGGCUAUGAGGUCACGUGGUACUAUACCGGCUAUGGGGUCAUACAGCCCUAUGGGGGAGAAUGGGGUCACGUGGCACUAUAAUGGCUAUGGGGUCAUACAGCCCUAUGGGGGAAUGGGGUCACGUGGUACUAUAACGGCUAUGGGGUCAGACAGCCCUAUGGGGGAAUGGGGUCAUACAGCCCUAUGGGGGAAUGGGGUCACACAGCCCUAUGGGGGGAAUGGGGUCACGUGGUACUAUAAGGGGUAUGUGGUCACGUGGUACUAUAACGGGUUUGGGGUCAUACAGCCCUAUGGGGGAAUGGGGUCACACAGCCCUAUAAGGGGUAUGGGGUCACACAGCCCUAUGGGGGAAUGGGGUCAUACACCCCUAUAAGGGGUAUGGGGUCACACAGCCCUAUGGGGGAAUGGGGUCAUACAGCCCUAUGGGGGAAUGGGGUCAUACAGCCCUAUAAGGGGUAUGGGGUCACACAGCCCUAUGGGGGAAUGGGGUCAUACAGCCCCAUG